rnacentral:rRNA from 1 species
AUUGAACGCUGGCGGCAGGCUUAACACAUGCAAGUCGAGCGGGGGAAGGUAGCUUGCUACUGGACCUAGCGGCGGACGGGUGAGUAAUGCUUAGGAACCUGCCUAUUAGUGGGGGACAACAUCUCGAAAGGGAUGCUAAUACCGCAUACGUCCUACGGGAGAAAGCAGGGGAUCUUCGGACCUUGCGCUAAUAGAUGAGCCUAAGUCGGAUUAGCUAGUUGGUGGGGUAAAGGCCUACCAAGGCGACGAUCUGUAGCGGGUCUGAGAGGAUGAUCCGCCACACUGGGACUGAGACACGGCCCAGACUCCUACGGGAGGCAGCAGUGGGGAAUAUUGGACAAUGGGGGGAACCCUGAUCCAGCCAUUCCGCGUGUGUGAAGAAGGCCUUAUGGUUGUAAAGCACUUUAAGCGAGGAGGAGGCUACUUUAGUUAAUACCUAGAGAUAGUGGACGUUACUCGCAGAAUAAGCACCGGCUAACUCUGUGCCAGCCGCCGCGGUAA